AACGAACGCUGGCGGCAUGCUUAACACAUGCAAGUCGAACGAGACCUUCGGGUCUAGUGGCGCACGGGUGCGUAACGCGUGGGAAUCUGCCCUUAGGUACGGAAUAACUCAGAGAAAUUUGUGCUAAUACCGUAUGAUGUCGAAAGACCAAAGAUUAUCGCCUAAGGAUGAGCCCGCGUAAGAUUAGCUUGUUGGUGAGGUAAAAGCUCACCAAGGCGACGAUCUUUAGCUGGUCUGAGAGGAUGAUCAGCCACACUGGGACUGAGACACGGCCCAGACUCUACGGGAGGCAGCAGUGGGGAAU
rnacentral:rRNA from 1 species